rnacentral:rRNA from 1 species
GACGAACGCUGGCGGCGUGCCUAAUACAUGCAAGUCGAACGAGAGCGACCGGUGCUUGCACUGGUCAAUCUAGUGGCGAACGGGUGAGUAACACGUGGGUAACCUGCCCAUCAGAGGGGGAUAACAUUCGGAAACGGAUGCUAAAACCGCAUAGGUUCUUGAGUCGCAUGACUGAAGAAGGAAAAGAGGCUUCGGCUUCUGCUGAUGGAUGGACCCGCGGUGCAUUAGCUAGUUGGUGAGGUAACGGCUCACCAAGGCCGUGAUGCAUAGCCGACCUGAGAGGGUGAUCGGCCACAUUGGGACUGAGACACGGCCCAAACUCCUACGGGAGGCAGCAGUAGGGAAUCUUCCGCAAUGGACGCAAGUCUGACGGAGCAACGCCGCGUGAGUGAAGAAGGAUUUCGGUUCGUAAAACUCUGUUGUUAGAGAAGAACAGCGCAUAGAGUAACUGUUAUGCGUGUGACG